rnacentral:tRNA from 1 species
GAGUGUACGGCUCAGUGGUAGAGUGCGUGCUUAGCAUGCAGGAGGCUCUGGGUUCGAUCCCCAGUACUGUCA